rnacentral:rRNA from 1 species
GAUGAGCGCUGGCGGCGUGCCUAAUACAUGCAAGUCGAGCGAAUGGAUUAAGAGCUUGCUCUUAUGAAGUUAGCGGCGGACGGGUGAGUAACACGUGGGUAACCUGCCCAUAAGACUGGGAUAACUCCGGGAAACCGGGGCUAAUACCGGAUAACAUUUUGAACCGCAUGGUUCGAAAUUGAAAGGCGGCUUCGGCUGUCGCUUAUGGAUGGACCCGCGUCGCAUUAGCUAGUUGGUGAGGUAACGGCUCACCAAGGCAACGAUGCGUAGCCGACCUGAGAGGGUGAUCGGCCACACUGGGACUGAGACACGGCCCAGACUCCUACAGGAGGCAGCAGUAGGGAAUCUUCCGCAAUGGACGAAAGUCUGACGGAGCAACGCCGCGUGAGUGAUGAAGGCUUUCGGGUCGUAAAACUCUGUUGUUAGGGAAGAACAAGUGCUAGUUGAAUAAGCUGGCACCUUGACGGUACCUAACCAGAAAGCCACGGCUAACUACGUGCCAGCAGCCGCCGUAA